rnacentral:lncRNA from 10 species
GCGCAGCUCAAUUAUUGCGCGGGCUGGGGGCGGGGCCUGCGGGGAAGGGACAGAGCCAAGCCCAGCCUUGAGCCAUCCUCGCCCCUGUGGCGGAAAUGGGAGGGUGCCUGGAGGAGUGGAGGGAUUGGAUUUACACCCUCUUUUCCCUCCGAAGCCUCCUUGGUGGGGGCGAAGAAAGACCAUCCAACCCUGCCAAAGGCAAAAGGAUUAAGGAUAAAUGAAAGCAAGAUAAUGUAGAAGAACUACUUAGCUGCUGGGUUUUUGGAGAUGAGUGAUUUUUUUUUGUAGGGAGAAAUUAUGAAACACAUUGAAAUGGACAAAAAAUUACUGAAUGUCUUCAAUGAAAAAACAGCCAUAGUUUGGCACACCGUCCCGGGCAUUCUGUUGCUAGAGGGGCUGUCCGCUUUUCUUUGUGGUGCUCUGCACAACUCGUUCCCUCUGGAAAGGCAUCAGGGGAGGCAUUUGGGAAAGCUGGCACUUUCCUUUUGCCCUUCACAUCACAUGAUUGAUUGGAAAAAUGGGAAAUGACAAGUGGCAUCAACAAGCGGGGCAAAGAGCUAGCCCAGUCAACCUACGAUGGGCCCCAUUCAAGGGGCACAGAGGGACAGAGGGACAGAAGGCUGAAGACUGGCUGGCUGGGGUGCAGCGAUGCUACAGAACGCCCCAUGGGACUUGGCAUGAAUAGGAAGCGUGGCCAGAUUAAGGACAUCCAAGAACUAGCUGCAGCAGGAAACUAGGCCAGGAGAGGCAAUGGGAAGGAACUACCUGGCAGGAACCUGGCAGAGCUGAAGCUCCCCAUAGAUUGAGGAAUGCAGCCGGCACCUGAGCUCAGCAAGGUAAGGAUGGGGCAGAGAAGGUUCUCAAGCAAUAUUCUGAAAUGAGCAUGAAUCGAUGAAUCAUUUUCCAGAGCUUGGGGGCUUUCCAGGGACAGUGAGCCCCAGGAAUCUGACACAUGGACUCUUACCAAGAGAAAUGGAAUUCCUGAGUGGGGACUGCACAGGAAGCAGUAACGCUUUUCAGCAUAAACUGUAGUCAUCCUGGCCAGGGCUGCAGGCAAGUGAGGGAGCAGCUGCGCCCGGGGUCUAGCAAAGCCCUGGUUCCUCCAGUGAGACCCAAAGCAUCUCCUGAAGGAAGGUCUCUUAAACGACCCUCAGAAUCGGAUUUCGCUCUGCAUCGAGUUUUCUGAAACUUGAAGAUCAAAUGCUGAGGUUACAAAUGCUUUCCAUUAUUUUCUUCAUGGUUUUCUAGAUUUUAAAACAUUGCUCUAGCCAGGGUGUUUUCCCAGCCCCCACGUCCAUGGCACCCCCAGUCUCUUCUCUGCACAUCUGGAUUUCCUACGGGGUUUCACUGGUGUCCAGGGCCGUCACCCAAAGGUGCCUGGCCUGGAGUAAGCAGAGGCUGGAACACAGCCUGAGCCUGGAACACAGCCUGAGCCCUGCUUGUCAAGUUCUGCUUCUGACCAGCGGAGGGGGGCCCAGACUGGGUGCCUAUUUCUAAUUCCUGGAAAGGUUACACAGCGACAUGCAAAGUCCUCCCCAGUAUGGACCACAUUGAAGCAGGUGUGAGGCAGACACCAGGGCUUCCCAGCCACCAGGCUUCUUUGGCCACUUUUUCGUCUUGUCCUGGUAGAAGGUGGCCAUGAAUCCAAGCACCCCUUCCAGCCUCACGAGAUGAAUUAAUUAGCCUAAACUGUUUGUGGUAAUUCCUUUCCCCUUGUGAGCAAUUUGGCACUUUUUGGCACCCAGUCUCUGGUGUGACCUCGCCAUCCUCAUUGGCACAGCCACCCUGGGAACAAAAGCCAUCCUCACGUGUCGCUGAGAUCCCAGCCAUGUGCACACUCAGCCCAGGUAGGCUGCAAGGGCAGAAGCCUCUGAGACCCACUGACUCUUAGCCUUAAUUCUUCCAAAUCAACUUUAAUUUGCCCCAAAUCCCCACACACCAGGACUGUGCCCAGGCUGUGGGGGUCUUACACAGCGUGAAAACUUCAGGAACUUCCUGCUGUCAUCAGUUACUGGUCUUCCUAUUUACCGUUUGGACAACCACAGACUGAAGGAAUCUGAAAUGGACCCGUCGGGUCAGUGGCUCUGAGCCACUGUGGGAAUGUCUGGCAAGGCUGGAAGCCCUGGGGUCUAAGGUCCAGGGGGCCAAGGUGCACCUGGGCUGGCCUUUUGUUCACAGGCUUCCCUGUGAUCUCCCUCCAGCCUGGGAGAAAAAAAAAAAUCUCUCUUCCAUGCUCCUCUCAAAGGCACCCCCUGCAGGACAUCCACACGGUCUCUCUGGGAGCUUGGGCUUUUAUUAAAGACACAGCAAGCCUGCCUUGCCAAAAUCCCUCAGACAAGGCCAUGCCAAGGGCUGGCGACCUCCUGGUAAUGUGAGAAGACACCAGAAGAACACGUACUCCUUUUUCAAUUAACUGUCCCCCCAUCUUUCCGAGGAAAUCUGACUCCUGUACCAAGCUUGCCUUCUAAACAGGUUGAGAGCCUAGAAGCCAAGGGACAGGGCUGUGAGGGGAAAGACUGGGCCCAGCCAGUGAGUGGGGGGCAGCCUGGGAGGAGCAUGUUGGCAGCAUGAGCCCAGCAGGGAAAGAAGGCCUCUGGCCUCUGUCCUGAAUGGCAGGAGGAAGUCACCGUCGGCCACCCUCACAGCCCAGGGUUGGGGCUUCUGGAGUGACUGAUAUCACCCCACGUAUGAAUCUGGCCCUGAUGCCAAGGACUGUGAUUCAACAAGGCAACUGGGGCCAUACACAGGGGUGCUGGGCCCUGUAGGAGACAGUGGCAAGGCCCUGCUCUCAGGCUCCUGGGUCCCAGUGGGGAGGCAGCCUCAUGCAUGGAUCCUUAGCCCGUGAGGAGCAGGAUGGCUGCAAUAAGGAGGAGGAAGCCUGAACAGCUGAUUCCUCCUUGGGCGGUGGGUGGGGUUGGCUCUGUGGGAUCUGAGAAGGCUUCUUGGGAGAGGUUGGGUUUAAGUUAGGACCUUGAGACAGGCAGGAGGAAGCCAUUCUAGAGAAAGGUGGCAGUUUCUGGGAGGGGUUUAUAAUUGAAGCUGGGGCAUCAGGGGUAUGUCAGAAGAAGGAGGGGCAGUGGAAAAUAAGCUUGUAAAAACAGCUUGAGGCCAAACCACAAAGAACACUGAAUGCCUGGGGAGGGGGAGUUUAGUUUGAAUUUUUAUUGUUUAUGCAUGGUCAUAGUUUAAGGAUCCCUGCCCCCAGUCUCAGAUUUUGCCUUUUCCUGCUUCCCAAGCUUUCAGCUGGUUCUUUUAGUAUUUACCUUCAUAGCUGUAAAUAUUAUGCUUAGAUUACUAUUUGAUUUUUCUACUUAUAAUGUCAUUCGUUGAGUUUCUGCUACAGAAGAUGAGAUGUUUAUGUAUAGUGAGAGCAGUAUACAUAAACAUACUUCCUAUCCCUUCAAAUAGAGUUACAUUAUAAUUUUAGUUCAUUAAUAGUUUGCAUUACAUUAUUAUUACUACAUCAACAAUACUCACAGCUGAAUCAUAUAGUAGACCAUGGUAACCUUUUGCUUGCUUAUUUUGUACUUUUCCUGAAAUUAAUCAUUACCUUGUUGUUUGCUUCUUUGUUUUAGUUUGUUUAAGUUUCUAAGUACUUAUUACUAAUGAAACCCCAAAGUUUUUGUCAAGUAUAGACAUCUCCUUUCAGGCUGUUCAGAAAGCCUGUGGUGUCCUACCAACUUCACCCUCCUGGGAAGCUCUUCUGAACCCUAGAGUCCUGUGCAUAACCAUUUGGGAAAAUCCCUUCAUCUCUCUCCUGGGUUAAGGUCCCCUUGCCUUCUUCCUCAUUUCACCCCUAUGUUUUGAUAGAGCACAUCCCCCAGUAGCUUUCUGAGAAAAGGUGCAUUUGGGGCCGUGAUACUUGAAUACCUGGAAAAGUCUUUUCUACCCUUGCAGUUGAUUGAUAGGUUGGCUGGGUAUAGGUUUUAGGUUAGAAAUCAUUUUCCUUUAGAAUUUUGAAAACACUGCUCCAUUGCUUUAAAAAAUGUUGCAACUGAGAAACAUAAAGCCAGCUUGAUUUCUGUCUCCUUUGUAUGUGAUGGGAUUUUUUUUUUCUGUUCUUCUGGGAGCUUUUACAUCUUCUCUUUGUCCCCAGUGUUGUGAAAUUUCACAAUAACCGACCUUGCUGUAGGUCUCUUCAUCCAUUGUGCUGGAAUGGGCCCUUUUAAUGUGGAAACUUGUCCCUCUUGUCUGGGACAUUUUCUUGAAAUAUUUCCUUGACAAUUUCUCUGACAGUAGGUAUUUUUUUCCACCCUUUGAAUAUAGAUGGAAAUACCAUUUUCCCCAGAAUGUAACCAGAUCUUGUCGUUCUAGAAUGUAGCCAGGGAAGCAAAGGCAUCCAGCUAAGUUUGCCUGUGGUAGGAGUCAGAGCGUAAGCUUACUUUGGAAAGGGAGUUCUGCGGUCCACUUUCUGCCUCCGCUGAAGGCCUUCAUGUCGAUGAAGUGCCUGGGAGGUCCUAAGUCUCAUCUUAUUAGAGAAACUGCUCCUGAACAGCCUAAGAUGUCACCCCAUGCAUCAGUUCAUAGUCUCUUACUCUGCUUGAUUUUACUUGCCACAUCAUAGGUGCUCAAUGCUCAUUGUUUGUCAAAUUGAAUUAUUUGGGACACAAUUUUCCCGUCUGUAAAAUGAAGGUGCUGGACUAGAAUUCUAAAAGUCCCAGUAGCUCCAAUGUCCAACAACUAUGCUUAUGUCACUGUGUUGGAAAAUGACUUAUAAAAGGGAAUGAAAUAGUCUCUGUAAAUAUGUUUCUCUGCCCACAUUUAAUGAAUUGUCUACCACAAUGAGGGGGAGUCCUAUUU